AUUCAAAUAGCUUAUUUAGAGUUUAAUAUUGAAGAUAUUAAGGAGAAAGUUUAAUUUCUUUGGAUA
rnacentral:tRNA from 1 species